rnacentral:misc_RNA from 1 species
GAAUUUAUAAAAAUGAUUGAUUACACAACAUAUAUUAAAUAUUUGUUGAAUAAUUUACUGGUUGAACUCUGGUUUUACUUCGAUUCAAUUUUAAAUGCUUAAUCCUAUGCUUUCACAGAUUCAGAAAGCAAACCUAGUUUGAAAAGGUUGUUUUUAAGAGGUAGUUCCCUAAACUUCUACACCAACCAUCAACGAUGAAUAAUCCCCACUUGCUUUUUAAAUUUUAAUUACAUUAGUUAAUAUACAAAAACAUUAUAAAAACAAAAUUAGAAUUUAAUAUGCAAAUCAAAGAGACUGUGUGUAAUUUGAAUCCUGUCAAGCCAGUUAUACCAAAUAAUAAUAAUAAUAAUAA